UAUCGUAGUUUGGCUCACUCCACCUCAUUGCAAACCCUUCGUAGCGCAUUUUCCUGUUGGAGCUAGAAAGCUAAAAAUUGCAUUUACGAGACCGCCUGGCGGCUGGGAUAUAGAAAGGUAAUGUAAGUUCCAUCAAGCAGGUAUACCUGUAUGAGACUUUAUUUUUUUUAAACGUUUGUUCAUUUUUGAGACAGAGCAACAGACAGACUGCGAGCAUGGGGGAGGGGCAGAGAAAGACGGAGGCACAGGAUCCGAAGCAGGCUCCAGGCUCUGAGCUGUCCGCACAGAGCCCUGCGCGGGGCUCAAACCCACGGACCGAGAGGUCAUGAUUUGAGCCGAAGUUGGAUGCUUAACCGACUGAGCCACCCAGAUGCCCCUGUAUGAGACUUUAAAUAGAAGCAAAAACUGAAGAGAUCUUCUGGCAACCUUGGUGGUGAUAUCUGAUCCUGUGGGGGCAGGUACAGGCUGACUUGACCAAUGUCAUAUGGCUGCAAGGGGCAGAACACAUUCAAAUUGAGCUCUCUCUGACGACCAUGCUUUAGACUUUGUCCUGCAACGAAUAAGAACCAACGAAGGUCGGACAACGAUAGGAUUAGAUGGUGUUGCCGAAGGAUGGGAGAAGGGGAGCUUGAGUAGGUCAGGAGCCCAGAGGGGAGAUAGCAGCCACAAGUCAGGAGUGGUGAGAAUGGGGACGACUGAAUACAUCUGAGAAUUUUGGUUUUUAUUUUUAAUUAAAAAAAAAAAAUGUUAUGUUUAUUUGUUUUUGAGAGUGAGAGAGACAGAGCACAAGCGGGGGGAGGGGCAGAGAGAGGGGGAGACACAGGAUCCAAAGCAGGCCUCAGGCCCUAAACUGUCAGCACAGAGCCGGAUGCGGGGCUCGAACCCGCGGACCGUGAGAUCAUGACCUGAGCUGAAGUCAGACACUCAACCGACGGAGCCACCCAGGUGCUGAAAAAUAUUUAAAUUUUUUUUUUUUUAAUGUUUAUUUAUUUUUGAGAGAGACAGGAAGAGACAGAGCACAAGCAGGGGAGGGGCAGAGAGAGAGGGAGACACAGAGUCUGAAGCAGCCUCCAGGCUCUGAGCUGUCGGCACAGAGCCCGACACGGGGCUCGAACUCACGAAUCAUGAGAUCACGACCUGAGCUGAAGUCGGACGCUCAACCGACGGACCCACUCAGGCGCCCCACUGAGAAAUAUCUGAGAGGCUGCAUAGACAAACUCGGAGACCAAUGCCAUGUUGCAGAGACAGGAAGCGAUAGGAAUGAAGAGUGAAGCCGAGACCUGGGCUCAGGCACCUGGGUGGAUGGUGGCACCAUUCAUCAAAAUAGAGGAAACAGGUGAAGAAGCUGGCUGGGGCGUUGAUUCCUGAUAUUGGUGUUAGAUAUGUUGAUACAGGAUUCCUACAGGACGACAGCUUGGAGACCAUCGAGAUAUCCAUUUGUCUGAAUCUGUGGUGCCCGUGACCCUGGAGUAAAGCCUGGUGCCUGGGGUGUGUUGGCGGCUGUACAAGCACGUCUGGAAUCUGGCCCAGCAUCAGGCGGAGCGAGCACAGAGCCUUGCGUCGCUGCGUAUUGAAACUGACUUGUCAGGCCACGGAGCUACAGAGAAGAAAGGCUCUGGCCGAGGCAGGCAAGCAGGCGCCCCGCUCAAUAAUUCAGCACAGAGCCUGUCUUGGCUGCAGAGCUACCAUCACAAGGAGCGUUUUUAAAGCCAAACCCGAUUUCUGUGCGAAGUCAUGCCUGAGCAGGCUGGAUCGUCGCCAAAGGACAAGAGAAGGCUCCAGGCCUCUUUAUACACAGGCCCUGGGAGAUUUGGGUACUUCGUGAUAAAGCUGUCAGUCUCCGCAGGGCAGGCAUGUGACUCAUUUGCGUAUGUCACUUCCUUCAGCCCGCAGGCCCCUGACUCCAAAUCCCAGCGGACAAACAAAGCUGUCCCAAACGACCUCUUCCUAUCAGAUUCAGGCUUUAUUAUGCUAGGGGGUCUGGCCGCAGAUCCCUUCACUGCUCUGGACCAACUCAGAGCCCCUCUGGCGGAAUGGAGCUCUCUAAAGGGAAGGGCACUUCAGGGGGGGGGGGGGGGGUUCAGGCACGGCCCCACAAGGAUCAGGGAGUGGAGCAGAAUGGCCUGAGCGCUGCUGACAUUCUGCCACCAGCGGUCGGCUUCCAAAGCUCUGGGAGAAUGGGCCCGUUCCACCUUCUGGGCACGCUGCUCCCCAGCCGCCCACGGGGGCCGAACCCUGGAUGGUAGCUACCCGAGUCUUUGCUUCUCUCAGUCUCUGCUUCCAUGCGUCCUUGAUUCGCGCUGGCCUCCUGUGCUACCCAUACUUGGGGAUCGAUUACUUAGCAGGAGACUGUAAGGAAACCUUCACCUGGCAUGCACAGCCGUGCCCAAGGGACUGCGCCGAUGCUUGAGUGGCUGGCUCGUCCCUGCACCAGGAUGCCAGGCGUGGUGGACAGGACACAGGCUGGAGGUCAGCCCCCACCGCUGCCCCUUAUGGCAGGUUCUCUGUACUGGCCACUAGCUUCACGGCUCUGGAGGAGGCCCUCCCCACGAACAGUUUAUCAGUGUGCUAUGAUACGCCAAUCGGCAAAUUCUGCUUCAGAGAUUCUCGAUCCCCCCCCCAUCCCCACUAUGUAAUUCAGAAUAAAAUUUAAAAUAAAAACAAUACUGGCUCAUAAAACACAAGCUUACAACAAUACUGACUCACAAACUU